GAACUCAGAUCACGUAAAUUUUUAAAAGUCGAACAGACUUACUUUUUUAGAUUUUGCUCUAAAGAGAAGAAUAAUUCAACAUCGAGGUCACAAACUUUUUCUUUUAUAAGAGCUUUAAGAAAAAAUUGUGCUGUUAUCCCUAUGGUAACUUGUUUUAAUCUUAUAAUAAGGAUAAAAAUAAGAUGAAAGAUUUAGUUUUUUACCGCCCCAGUAAAACUAAAGUAAAGCUCAAUAGGGUCUUGUCGUCCCUCUCGUUAAUAUAAGUCUUUUUACUUAUACGAAAAAUUGAAAUAAUCAUAAAUACAUUAGAAUUUUGUAUGUUGGACCAUUCAUUCUAUCCUUCAAUUAAAAGGCAAAUGAUUAUGCUACCUUAGCACAUAGUGACUGCGGCUUUUUAAUGAAUCAAUUAGCAGGUCUUACUAAAUAUAAAGCAUUUAGAAAUGUUUUUGAUAAACAGGCAAUAAAAUAAGGCCUAGUUCAUAAUAAGGAAUUAAAUUUGAAAAUUUCUUUAAAUUUAAAUAUAAAAUUUAUAAAAUAAUUUACUAAUAAUAUCAUAAUUAAAGAUAAUAAAAUUAAUCUUAAUAAAUAAUUUUUUAAAAAAGUGAUGAAGAAGUUUUUAUACUGAAAGACACUAAUAAUCCUAGAAUUUUUAAACUAAUAUUUGAAAAAUUUAUAUAAAAGCUUAUCCUUUUAUAAGUUUUAGUACUAUUACUUUCUUAAGAAACCAGAUAACAAAAAAUGCGAAAAGAAUUUCACUUCUAUUUAAGUUUUUUUUAUUUUUUGCAAUAAAUGAAAUAAAAAUAAAUAGAUCAUUUUUUUUCGGGAAAAUCUCAAUUGAAAUUUUAAGUUGAUAAUCCCUGAUACAAAAGGUAUAAAAAUUUUCUAAGAUAUAAUUGAAAAUUUCCCUCACGGUUUUUGAAUUUUUAAGAAAAAGAUAAAAUAAAAAUAGUUAUUUAGAUAAAGAUUUAUUUAAUUUAAUUA
rnacentral:rRNA from 1 species